GUGGCAGCAGCCUUGGUCCUCCUGUUUCUGAUGCUGUCUGUACUGCUGUUACUGUGGAGGUACUGGGGGAUCCUGAAACAAAUGAUAAGCAGUGACCAUCGACCGAGUGAGAAUCAGGAUACGGAUCAAACCUACAGUCUAAU